rnacentral:lncRNA from 1 species
UGGAUGAGGGCCGAAGUUGCAGCAUGGAUUCUCCUCACUUGCAUGUGGCAGCUGCCCAUUAGAAUAAUCAGCCCCAAAUGAAGCAGCGUGGAGGCCUGCUGGACGUGUGCAGCUAGAUGGAGCUGCUGGACCAAGCUAAAGAACUCUCUUGAUGAAGAAUGGUUGUUGUAUCUGCCUUGGGCCGUGAAGAGUUGCUGUUGGAAGUGUAUUGCUGCUGGGCCGUGUUCAAACUUGUUGGGCCACUUCUAAUGUGGGUGUUACCUUCUGUUCAAGACCGUGACAACAGCGUGAUGCCCUCCGUGUGAGCCUCCAAGGCUGGGCCAUGAAUCAUUGUGGAAUGAAUCUGCUGCUGGCUACUUCUUUUAUGUAAUUCAACUAUCCAAUACAUGCAUGUGGGCCAUGGUGGUGUAGACGGCCAUGGGAAUGAAAAUAUCCCAAAUUGUAUUUCCAAAAUUUUCCUUGCUCUCAAGAAUGAAAAUAAUAAGCUCAGAAUAUUCAAAUAAAUCAAAAUUAGAAUUUCCGAUCAAAUUAUGCACAAUUAGUGAAAAUGGACAUUUAAGCACAAUUCCCUGAUUAAUUCUAGCACAAUAAACUAA